GUCUACAGCCAUAUCACCCUGACCGUGAUCUGAUCUUGGAAGCUAAACGGGGUCAGGCCUGGUUAGUACUUGGAUGGGCAACCAUCUGGGAAUACUGGGUGAUGUAAUUG
ensembl:rRNA 5S_rRNA 5S ribosomal RNA